rnacentral:rRNA from 1 species
CCAGACUCCUACGGGAGGCAGCAGUGGGGGAUAUUGCACAAUGGGGGGAACCCUGAUUCAGCGACGCCGCGUGGGUGAAGAAGCGCCUCGGCGCGUAAAGCCCUGUCAGCAGGGAAGAAAAUGACGGUACCUGAAGAAGAAGCCCCGGCUAACUACGUGCCAGCAGCCGCGGUAAUACGUAGGGGGCAAGCGUUAUCCGGAUUUACUGGGUGUAAAGGGAGCGUAGGCGGGAGUGCAAGUUGAAUGUAUAAACUAUCGGCUCAACUGAUAGAAGCGUUCAAAACUGCACUUCUUGAGUGAAGUAGAGGCAGGCGGAAUUCCUAGUGUAGCGGUGAAAUGCGUAGAUAUUAGGAGGAACACCAGUGGCGAAGGCGGCCUGCUGGGCUUUAACUGACGCUGAGGCUCAAAAGCGUGGGUAGCAAACAGGAUUAGAUACCCCUGUAAAG